AACGCACGAGACCUGCGGACCUGCGGAAGGAUCAUUACCGAAAGGCCUCGUGCCUUUUACCUUCAAAACCGUGGAGCAGACACGUGCUUCGGCGCCUCGGGCGCCGUCCUCAUGCCGGAACAUGUCCUUUUGACGUCUGAACUUGAGAAUGAGAAACCAAAACUUUUAACAAUGGAUCUCU
rnacentral:misc_RNA from 1 species